AUCCUACCGGCAGGGGGGAAACCAUGAUCACCAAGGUGGUUUUCCUGGGGCGAGGCUCUCUCGAUGUGCUGACCCCUGUGACUUCCUCAAACUGACUGCACAGUUUGUGGUAGUGGGAGACCGCGUUUGUGCUACA
rnacentral:snRNA from 1 species